AGUGUGAUCCUGGCUCAAGACGAACGCUGGCGGCGUGCUUAACACAUGCAAGUCAAACGGUAAGGCCCCUUCGGGGGUACACGAAUGGCGAACGGGUGAGUAACACGUGAAUAACCUGCCCCAGACACUGGGAUAACACCUGGGAAACAGGUGCUAAUACCGGAUAUGAACUUCCACGACAUCGUGGUAGUUGGAAAGCUCCGGCGGUCUGGGAUGGACUCGCGGCCUAUCACCUAGUUGGUGAGGUAACGGCUCACCAAGGCUUCGACGGGUAGCCGGCCUGAGAGGGCGACCGGCCACAUUGGGACUGAAAUACGGCCCAAACUCCUACAGGAGGCAUGAGUGGGGAAUAUCGCACAAUGGACGCAAGUCUGAUGCAGCAACGCCGCGUGCGGGAAAACGGCCUGCGGGUUGUAAACCGCUUUCAGCCAUGACGAAGCUAACGUGACGGUAGUGGAAGAAGAACCACCGGCUAACUACGUGCCAACAGCCGCGGUGAUACGUAUGGUGCGAGCGUUGUCCGGAAUUAUUGGGCGUAGAGAGCUUGUAAGCGGUUUGUCACGUCAGGACUGAAAACUCAAGGCUUCAUCCUGAACUUGCUUCCGAUACAGGCUGACUAGACGAAUGUACGGGACAUCGGAAUUCCUGUUGGAGCCGGGGAAUGAGCAGAUAUCAGGAGGAACACCAGUGGCGAAGGCGGAUCUCUGGACCUUUCAUGACGCUGAGAAGCGAAAGCGUGGGGAGCACACAGGGAUAGAUACCCUGGUAGUCCACACCGUAAACGGUGGGUACUAGGUGUGGGGGACAUUAUACGUCUUCCGUGCCGCAGCUCACGCAUUAAGUACCCCGCCUGGGGAGUACGUCCGCAAGGCUAAAACUCAAAGGAAUUGACGGGGCCCCGCACAAGCGUCGGAGCAUGCGGAUUAAUUCGAUGCAACGCGAAGAACCUUACCUGGGUUUGACAUAUACCGGAAACAUCUAGAGAUAGGUGCCCCUUUAUGGUCGGUAUACAGGUGGUGCAUGGCUGUCGUCAGCUCGUGUCGUGAGAUGUUGGGUUAAGUCCCGCAACGAGCGCAACCCUCGUACAAUGUUGCCAGCGGAUAAUGCCGGGGACUCAUUGGAGACCGCCGGGGUCAAGUCGGAGGAAGGUGGGGAUGAGGUCAAGUCAUCAUGCCCCUUAUGUCCAGGGCUUCACGCAUGCUACAAUGGCCGGUACAAAGAGCAGCGAACCUGCAAGGGUAAGCGAAUCUCAAAACCCCGGUCUCAGUUAGGAUUGGGGUAUGCAACUCGACCCCAUGAAGUCGGAGUCGCUAGUAAUCGCAGAUCAGCAACGAUGCAGGUGAAUACGUUCUCCGGGGCGUGUACACAC
rnacentral:rRNA from 1 species